GCUGGACAUGGUGGCACGUGCCUGUAAUCCCAGCCGCUGGGAGGCUGAGGCAAGAAGAUGGCAAGUUUGAGGCCAGCCUCAGCAAUUCAGUGAGACCCUGUCUCAA
rnacentral:sRNA from 1 species